rnacentral:rRNA from 1 species
UACGUAGGGGGCUAGCGUUGUCCGGAUUUAUUGGGCGUAAAGAGCGUGUAGGUGGCUUUAUAAGUCCGUUGUGAAAGUCAAAGGCUCAACCUUUGAAAGCCGAUGGAUACUGUGAAGCUAGAGUACGGAAGAGGCGAGUGGAAUUCCUGGUGUAGCGGUGGAAUGCGCAGAUAUCAGGAGGAACACCAAUAGCGAAGGCAGCUCGCUGGGACGUUACUGACACUGAGGCGCGAAAGCGUGGGGAGCGAACAGG